UACAGAGGGUGCGAGCGUUUAAUCGGAAUUACUGGGCGUAAAGCGCGCGUAGGCGGCUUUGCAAGUCGGGUGUGAAAUCCCCAGGCUUAACCUGGGAACUGCAUUCGAGACUGCAUUGCUAGAGUAUGGGAGAGGGAAGUGGAAUUUCCGGUGUAGCGGUGAAAAUGCGUAGAUAUUCGCAAGAACACCAGUGGCGAAGGCGGCUCACUGGCCCGGUACUGACGCUGAGGUGCGAAAGCGUGGGGAGCAAACAGG
rnacentral:rRNA from 1 species